UACAGAGGGGGCAAGCGUUGUUCGGAAUUACUGGGCGUAAAGGGCGCGUAGGCGGCCUUCUAAGUCAGACGUGAAAUCCCUCGGCUCAACCGGGGAACUGCGUCUGAGACUGGAAGGCUUGAAUCCGGGAGAGGGAUGUGGAAUUCCUGGUGUAGCGGUGAAAUGUGUAGAGAUCAGGAGGAACACCGGUGGCGCAGGCGGCCCGCUGGACGGAGACUGACGCUGAGGCGCGAAAGCGUGGGGAGCAAACGGG
rnacentral:rRNA from 1 species